UACUCGAGUGGCGAACGGGUGAGUAACACGUGGGUGAUCUGCCCUGCACUUCGGGAUAAGCCUGGGAAACUGGGUCUAAUACCGGAUAGGACGAUGGUUUGGAUGCCAUUGUGGAAAGUUUUUCGGUGUGGGAUGAGCUCGCGGCCUAUCAGCUUGUUGGUGGGGUAAUAGCCUACCAAGGCGUCGACGGGUAGCCGGCCUGAGAGGGUGUACGGCCACAUUGGGACUGAGAUACGGCCCAG
rnacentral:rRNA from 1 species